UACGUAGGGUGCGAGCGUUGUCCGGAAUUAUUGGGCGUAAAGAGCUCGUAGGCGGUUUGUUGCGCCGGCCGUGAAAACCUGCAGCUUAACUGUGGGCCUGCGGCCGAUACGGGCAGACUUGAGUUCGGUAGGGGAGACUGGAAUUCCUGGUGUAGCGGUGAAAUGCGCAGAUAUCAGGAGGAACACCGGUGGCGAAGGCGGUUCUCUGGGCCUUACCUGACACUGAGGAGCGAAAGCGUGGGGAGCGAACAGG
rnacentral:rRNA from 1 species